rnacentral:lncRNA from 1 species
AGCAGGUCUGCUCUUGAUCUAGCAGAACUGGAGGACCCUUCUAUGUGCACUAUCCAAUACCCAUCUGGUUCUCUGAGGAAUCUGGUUCAAUAGGUUCGAUCAUUUUCAAGACUGGUUCAAGCUUUUUUUGAUCCUUUGAGAUGGUACAUUCUAUGAUAAAGUCUGUCAGGAUUUGAACUUUGAUAGAAAGUUGAGGUUUGAACUCCACUCCAAAUUCUGUCAACUCAAUCACCCAUUUAGCUAGUUGACCAGAUGUUUUGGGCCGAUGUAAGGCCACCUUCAGUGGCUGCUCAGUCA